AGUUCGAUCAUGGCUCAGAUUGAACGCUGGCGGGAUGCUUUACAUGCAAGUCGAACGGCAGCACGUACUUCGGUCUGGUGGCGAGUAGAACGGUGAGUAAUGUAUCGGAACGUGCCUAGUAGCGGGGGAUAACUACGCGAAAGCGUAGCUAAUACCGCAUAUUGCCCUUCGGGGAAAGCGUAAUCCCCGGGCCUCGCACUAUUAGAGCGGCCGAUAUCGGAUUAGCUAGUUGGUGGGGUAACGGCUCACCAAGGCGACGAUCCGUAGCUGGUUUGAGAGGACGACCAGCCACACCGGGACUGAGACACGGCCCAGACUCCUACGGAGGCAGCAGUGGGGAAUUUUGGAUAAUGGGGAAACCCUGAUCCAGCCAUCCCGCGUGUGCGAUGAAGGCCUUCGGGUUGUAAAAAGCACUUUUGGCAGGAAAGAAACGGCACGGGGUAGCCCCGUGCAACUGACGGUACUCUGUGAAUAAGCACCGGCUAACUACGUGCCAGUACGCGGUAAUACGUAGGGUGCAAGCGUUAAUCGGAAUUACUGGGCGUAAGCGUGCGCAGGCGGUUCGGAAAGAAAGAUGUGAAAUCCCAGAGCUUAACUUUGAACUGCAUUUUUAACUACUGAGCUAGAGUGCGUCAGAGGGAGGUGGAAUUCCGCGUGUAGCAGUGAAAACGCGUAGAUAUGCGGAGGAACACCGAUGGCGAAGGCAGCCUCCUGGGAUAACACUGACGCCAUACGAAAGCGUGUAUAAACAGGAUUAGAUGUCCCGUAGUCCACGCCGUAAAACAUUAACGAGUUGUUAGCUCCAAUUUAAGGUGAAGCAAUCGGGUGGAAGCUGACCGCGCUCUGUAGAUAUGCAGUCGCAAGAUUAAAACUCAAAGGAAUUGACGGGGACCCGCACAAGCGGUGGAUGAUGUGGAUUGAAUUUGAUGCAACGCGAAAACCUUACCUCACUUUGACAUGCGUUCGGAAUCCCGAAGAGAUUUGGGAGUGCUCGCAAGAGAACCGGAACACAGGUGCUGCAUGGCUGUCGUCAGCUCGUGUCGUGAGAUGUUGGGUUAAGUCCCGCAACGAGCGCAACCCUUGUCAUUAGUUGCUACGAAAGGGCACUCUAAUGAGACUGCCGGCGACAAACCGGAGGAAGGUGGGGAUGACGUCAAGUCCUCAUGGCCCUUAUGGUAGGUCAUUAUCGUCAUACAAUGGUCGGGACAGAGGGUCGCCAACCUGCGAGGGGGAGCAAUCCCAGAAACCCGAUCGUAGUCCGAUCGCAGUCUGCAACUCGACUGCGUGAAGUCGGAAUCGCCAGUAAUCGCGGAUCAGCAUGUCGCGGUGAAUACGUUCCCGGGUCUUGUACACACCGCCCGCCACACCAUGGGGAGGGUUUUUACCAGAAGUAGUUAGCCUAACCGUAAGAGGGCGAUUACCACGGUAGGAUUCAUGACUGGGGUGAAGUCGUAACAAGGUAG
rnacentral:rRNA from 1 species